CUCUUGAAGUCAUGGAAUAAGUUGCCCUCUGGAAAUGCAUCUCUCUGCUGGGUGUUCAGGGAGCUAAAAUGACUGGCUCAGACCUGAGGCUGCCUCUCAGGUGGAUAGAGUUAGACAUUUGAGACUCUGAAAGCUAAAACACCAGCAGAUGGAGACAAACCCUGUUAUCAAACCAGCCCAGUUGAGCAGGACCUGUAGGAUUUGCAGCUUUUCUCCAGGAAGCUGAGAUGAAACACAAAAAUCAUAAGUGGAUCCAGAACCAUUUUGCUUCCAUGAAAGGCCAGAAGAAGAAAUUUCCUUGCUGUCCAUAUCAUCUCUUCUUCACUGGCCAGGGAGGUUUUUUACUCCAUUGUCCUUUGCAUUGGAGGUGAACUGGAGGGGUUGACACAACUGGAAUGAGCAGAGCUGAGACUGAAAUGCAAACCCAGCCCGUGCUCUGGGGCUGUGGGGUUGUUGCUUACCUGGAGAAAAGGUUUUGAACCGAGUGCAGACACACCAUUUUAUAGCAUGAACCACAACAGAAAACAUGGGCAGGGGCAUAGGGCUGUAAAAAUGGUCCUUUCCUUAAUUGUCUAAAUAGAAAUGAAUGUGGAUGCCUCCAAAUGCACUGCAACUAUAGAUAAAACCAGCAGGAAAAAUCUCAGAGGAGGGCUGAAGAAAGAUUUUCUCUUUCCUUUCUUUGGAACAAACAUAUUUUUGAUGUUUUUGACUGGUAUAAAUAUAGACCAAUAGAAGAAGAGGCAGAGAGGACCUUGAGAGAUGAUCUAUCCCUCUACCCCAAGGCAAGAUUUGCCAGGUCUGAGCCAUUCCUGGUGACAGUAGAGUCUGUAGCUCCUUGACUAAUUUAUUCCAGUUCUCACCUGUCCUUCCUCUUAGGAAAUGUCUUUAAUGCUUGACCUAUAUCCUCCUUGCUGCAAUUUAAACCCAUUAUUUCUUGUCUUAUACCCAGUGGACGUGGAGAACAAUUUAUUACCUUCCUAUCUGCAACAACCUUUUACAUAGUUGAAGGCUGUUAUCAUGUCUCCCCCUCAGUCUUUUCUUCUCUAGACUAA